UUUGAUGUACAACACUACAACACCCAUGAGAGAAGAGAAUGUGCUGUUUUUCCCAUUGGGAUGUAACCAUGGUGGUGGCAGUCCCAACGCCGCAGAUGGAACCUGCUCAGAUGCAUGCACUCCCAUGCCCGGCUCCUUAAAACUACAGAUGCCUGCUCCUGUAAGCAGGCUAUAGGUAGGUAGAUAAACUUGCAUGCAAAAAUCAAGGUGUCUGGGAUGAAGUUCAACAGGAUCACUUGUAGGAAUCCAUUAAUAUUAUAUGGAAGUGCUGGUAGGAUUGGCUUUUUCUCAAGCUGAAAUAUCUUCCUGCAUUGCCUGCUACCAGCAAAGCAAGGAUUUACUGAGUCCCCUUGCUCAACCCCUGCAAGGCCAAAACCAAACCUGGGCUCCCCUUGCUCCUUGGGAGCUGGGCAGAAUGAAGUCCCUUGCUCCUGUCCCACCUGGCACUUCCAGGCUGCCUGUGCUGGAUUCCUCCAUCUUCCCCAUCUCCUCGUGGUGGGCUCCUCCAGCGGCCCUUGCACCUCCACCAGCUGAACCCAACACCAUGAGCACCACCACGGCCACACUGGAAGACGUCCUGGUCUGGAUGAAAUCUGCAACAGAGGUUUAAUGAGCAAUUCCUGCCCUUGUGCUACUGCUAUAUGCUUAAUCCUGUACGAGAGCGAGGGUUAAAUACCUCUAUACCUGCAUGCACACAGUGGCUUGUGUGGAUAUAAAUAUACCCACUAACAAAGAAACAAUACUGCCUUUAAAACAAAAUUGUUAUAAAUUUAUUAUGAAUAUAAAACCUGUGCUGACCAGGACUUGCAAAGCAGCACUGUAAAAAAUAAAUCCUCCUGACACUACAAAUCCCAGAGCCUAGAAGACUUGGUUUUGCAAAGGACCCUCACAAGUGGGAAUAAACCCCCAAAUUUAACAACUUGUUUAUUUUUUUGGGGGGGGGGGGGG